UAAGUUGUCAUCCGCACUGGGGCCGGGCUUUCUGGUGAUGUAGCUGCCUCCGAGGCACCCAUUCUCCUCCAAGUUAUCCUUUACCCAUGCUCCUGGAAGUAGUCCCUGUGAACAGACUGGUUCAUUAAGUUAGACUUGAAUAGAUCUGUUUCCUGUGCCCCCCACAGGGGAGAGGGUGAAUAAAUGUUUGCUCAUCCCUCCCCCAGGAAAAGCCAUACAACACCUGUUCUUCAGAAACCUCUUACCUAUAAAUGGGCUUGGGGCAACGCUUACAACCUGUUUCCUGGCUUGCCCUCCCCACCAACGACACAGUGGCUUCCCGAAUCUCUGGCUACCCUGCUCAAACUCUGAACUCCACCUACUACCAGGCUCCUCCUGAAGACAGACAGGCUCGCUUCUUGGCCCUGAGUACCACACCUACUCUGGGUAGUCAGUACCCAGCCACCAUGCAGUCUGCUUUGUCUACGGACAGAUUCAGCAAUCACCUGUUGAGCAAUAGGUGCAAAGCACCACACUGCGAUGGGGAUGAACUUUCUAGUAAAUGAGGAUAAUAUCUACAUAUUUUGAGGAAGUGAGUUCUCAUUCCUCCAUUUAUUUUCACGUUGUUUACUGUUAGAAUUACCUAUGCGCCAGGACUUGAAGGACACAACAACGAAACCAAACGAAACCAAACGAAAUGAAACUGAUACUUCUCUAUCACACGUGAGGACCUGGGGCUCUCAAACCUGCUAAGAUUCUGCCAAUAGCAGAGCCAGGGACUGAAGACAUACUGUACAUGGUACUAAGCAUCCCCAUGAGUACCAGAUUCUAGACGUUGCUCCUCAAGAGACUAAGGGAUGCUGAGCAGAGAGAACCUACAGGCAAAGACCAGGCUGCCCCGACAACUCAACAGACUCAGAAGCGCUGUAUUUUAAAGCAUAGGGGAAAGCGAUUCCUAAAAUAUUCGGAUGUUCUCAACUUUGGUUGGAGAGGCUUCUUCGUUGUGGUUGGAAGCAGUCAACGGAGAGAUGUAUAAGUGCUCAAAGUGCUGAGAAAGACAGAGAGACUUCUUAGGACAUAGGACAAUAUUGACCACCCAACCACCAAGGCCCAGGAACAUGACGGAAGAGGGAGUGGCAUGGAGAAGAGUCCUGUGAAAUGCUGGCUUCUGGAAGUGACAUGGCUAUCACAAUCAUGACCUCUCAGUAGCUGAGGUUACCUGCAUAAGAUCUACCCCAGAUCAAGCCAACAAAAAUCCCCACAUGGUAGGUAGAUGAUCUCCAAGCCCACCCUAUACUCAGGAGCUAUUGGAAAUAGAUUUGCCAAAGACAGGAGGAAUUUUUUUCUUAAGAAUGUGGUCAGUGGUGGUUUCCCAUGCUCCAGUGGCCCAUAUACCCAUGCAUAUAUGGGUAGCACUGACUAGAGGAGGCAUAUUGGGGAGGACAUAAAGGGGGGAAAUGGGAAGUAGACAUGAUCAUCUUUCAUUGUGUUCAUGUAUGAAACUCUCAAAAAUAAAGACUAAAAACAGAAAUUAGUAAUGCAAAUCCCUGCCUGGUACUAUCCUAUGUAGUAGAAGAGACUGAUUAAAUAAGAUUAUUUUUUCUGUCCACUAUUAUCCAUUUUCAAUCACUUAGUGUGGCCUGUU